CUGGAGUAGUGUCAUGUUUGGGGAGCAGAAUAGGAAGGUGGAAACGGACAUAUGGGAAGAAAACGGUAGCCAGAGCCCAAGCGCCACCAAGUUGGCACCAAACCAAAGUCUUUGGAAGAGAAUUACAGCUCUGUCUGAGUGAGGAUAAAGUGAUUGAUGUAGCAUAAAGGUCACAAUGAAUAAACAAAAUCUGAUUCAGAGACUAUGCCAAGCCAGGUGAUAAGAUCUUGAAGAACCAAGAUCCAGAGAGAAGUGAAAGGAAUCAGUGUUCCAUGGAACGGAAGUGCAUCAGGAAAGAUCCCAAUUUCCACUCAUUAUUAGAGAGCUGAAUUCUAAACCAAAGAUUGUGGAGAAGAGAUGUACAACCUGAAUAAAACAUUUCCAGACGUGCCUGAAUAAUGGUCCUGAAUAAAGGGACCUGCAAUGUUCUUGAAUUGUAAUUGGAAAAAAUUCAAGUGUGUGUACUCAGGAGCACAUGUACUAAGAAGAGGUCAUUGGAGAAGAGAUAGUGAAUGCUUGGCUCUUUAAGUAUAAGGUGUUUAGAACACUUCAAGAAUUUCCUAUACAUGGAAAGAUUUGGAAGAGUCCUUCAUUCAUAG
rnacentral:lncRNA from 1 species